GUCGUAGUGGCUCAGCUGGGUAGAGGUUGGCCUAUGGCUCUGAAGGUCCGGGGUUCAAUCCCCACAGCGAAA